GUGCUUGCUUCAGUAGCACACACACUCUAUUAAAAUUGGAAGGAUUACAGACUAGCAUGGCCUCUGUGCAAGAAUGGCAUGUAAAUUUGUGAAGUGUUCCAUAUUAAA
rnacentral:snRNA from 1 species